rnacentral:rRNA from 1 species
UGGCGCACGGGUGCGUAACGCGUGGGAAUCUGCCCCAAGGUUCGGAAUAACAGUUAGAAAUGACUGCUAAUACCGGAUAAUGUCUUCGGACCAAAGGUUUACUGCCUUGGGAUGAGCCCGCGUCGGAUUAGCUAGUUGGUGAGGUAAAAGCUCACCAAGGCGACGAUCCGUAGCUGGUCUGAGAGGAUGAUCAGCCACACUGGGACUGAGACACGGCCCAG